CCUACGGGUGGCUGCAGUGGGGAAUAUUGGACAAUGGGCGAAAGCCUGAUCCAGCCAUGCCGCGUGUGUGAAGAAGGCCUUCGGGUUGUAAAGCACUUUCAGUGGGGAAGAAAGCCUUGGGGCUAAUACCCUCGAGGAAGGACAUCACCCACAGAAGAAGCACCGGCUAACUCCGAGCCAGCAGCCGCGGUAAUACGGAGGGUGCGAGCGUUAAUCGGAAUUACUGGGCGUAAAGCGCGCGUAGGCGGUCUGAUAAGCCGGUUGUGAAAGCCCCGGGCUCAACCUGGGAACGGCAUCCGGAACUGUCAGGCUAGAGUGCAGGAGAGGAAGGUAGAAUUCCCGGUGUAGCGGUGAAAUGCGUAGAGAUCGGGAGGAAUACCAGUGGCGAAGGCGGCCUUCUGGACUGACACUGACGCUGAGGUGCGAAAGCGUGGGUAGCAAACAGGAUUAGAUACCCUUGUAGUC
rnacentral:rRNA from 1 species